rnacentral:sRNA from 1 species
UCCCACUCGAAGAUCCAGUAUCUGCUACUGAUGAUAUUACAAUACUUCCAGAGCUUGAGUAUUGUGAAAGUAAAUGCGAUUCCAUAUGGUUAGGAAUUGUUUAUAGCUUUAAGGGCCCUAUAUCCAAGAAAGAUGAAGAACGCCAUUAAAAAUUGGUUGCCGAAAACGAGGAAUCACAACUUUUCUGUGCAAAAUGUAGAAAAUAUGGAUAAAAGGAAAUACUCUUAUUUUAAUUGAAAUUUCUUGUUGCACUCCACUCGUGCCGUGCAUUUUUAAUGAGAGAUUCAACAACCUUUCAGCAUAUUUGCAUAAAAUAUUCAUUUGAAUUAUUAAUAUUGGAAACGUGUUGGUGGGGCGAUUAACAUCAAUUGGAUUAAGUACAUAAAUCAUUGCAUAUAAAAAGGUUUAAGAUCCAAUUUACAAAUUUUUAAGAUAUAAAAAUAGUAAUAUUUUGCAGUCCAGUCUCAAAUUGAAAUCAGUCAACCUAUGGGCAUGGAUGGACGCUUUGUUAGCCCCCAAAGAAUACCCAAAGAUUUUUCAUAUGUGAAAGUCAACGCUAUUCCAUGUGGUUAGGCCUUUUCUAUGGCGCUAAAAGCAUAAUUCUGGUGUUUGGCCUACAUCUAUACAUCUAUAACCCAUUCGCAUAUUUGAAUUGGAAUUUCAAUUGGAUUAACUAAAUAAAUCAUUGAAUAUACGCAAAUAUUUAUAAUGACAAUUAUGAAAAUUUAACUCUGA